rnacentral:lncRNA from 1 species
CAUUCACGGACUCUGGUCUGCUGGGCUGAAAGGUUGCCACAGGGUGUGUGUGUCCAGAAAAGUCCUGAUUUGGGUAGGGGAGAGAAAAGCAGAAAAUUUAGGCUUUCCUGAAGCAUAAUUAUCAUCAUCUGAAUUCCCCUAGAAACAGACCUCAGACAAGGCUUCAAGUGUAAGCAGUUUCUUUGGGAGAUGAUCCCAGAACACACCAGAUGGGACUGGGGGAGCAGCCAGGAAGCAGGGUGUUAUCAAGCAGCUGACCACUAGGGCUACUGGCACUUAAUCCUGCUGGCAACUCAGGGAGCCACUGGGCACACGCACCUCAGAACCAUCCCAGGAGGGGGACGCUCCUGGGCUAUUUACCCACAGUCAUUGUUGAGGAAUGGAAGAGCUGGUGGCUGUGACACUUGCAGCCUGCCACGAUGCAGGGACACUCAGAAUCCAUCCUCAAAGCCCCCAUGCCCAUCGGAGCCUCGCAUAUGCCCAAGCUGCCCCUGCCAGCCCUCAUCUGAACAGGGCCGACCUAUAUCACCUCCUGGGCUUCCCCUGCCCCAGCUCGCCCCUAGGUUCUAAGGGAGAGACCCAGCAGACCAGGGAAGAAACUCCAAGGUCAGCCAGGACACAGCUUAUCCUGGGUUAAAGUGUGAACUAAAAAUUGGAACUCUUUUAAGAUGUCCCCUUUGGUGCCUCCUCUCCUCCCCUUUUGAGUGUCUCUCCUGAGGUCCAAGGCCAGGGGCUCUGCUCUCAGCAGCUGACACAUCCUUAGCAGAGGUGAAGUUAUUUAUCUCAAAGGAACUUAAGGCACUGCUCCCUCCAGGGCCUGUUUGCCAUUUUAUUCAGGACUAAAUGAAUGCAUUACUAAUGGUGGAAAUUCAGACACAAAGAUAGAUGUUUUGGUCCAAGAGUCUGGACCAUCUUGAUAUUCUAUCUGAACAACUCAUAGCUCCAGCCCCACUCCCUUACUCUCAACCCCUCCCCACCUGCUGCACACCCCCAGAUUUGCUAUACCAGGGCCCGUGGCAUCUUUGCCCGCUGAAACCAGGGGUUCCCCAUGAGGGUCUUCCAGAUCACACCCCCUGCGGCAAUUACUAACAGCAGUAUCAGAAGCGAUGGCAGCACCAGGAAAGCCCAGUUGGCUUCUAAGGAAGGAAAAAUAACAAUGAGAGAAACAACAAUGGCUCUUGUCUACAACUGCACCUGUGCCGAGUGCUUCACAUACAUGACCCUAUUUAAUCCUCACAAGAAUAAACCCAUCCUGCAGACUGUGCAAACCAAGGUUUGGGGCAUUAUGUAAGCUGCCCAAAGACACACAAUGAGUGUGGUUUUAAUCCAGGCGAGUCUAUCUCUAGGCUCAUGUUCUUAACCACUGUGUCACGAAGCUCCCAAGGCCCAGAGGGAAAGUUUCUCUUUCUGCACCACUUGAUACCCACCUGGGACCUCCAGCAAGAAGCAGGUGGGCUUAGAGAACUUGCUGUAUUUCGGGACACUGAACGUGUAGAUGGUUCUGGCACUGAGGCAGUGGUGUUCGCUGGCAGCUGGCUGGAGAGUGAUCUGGACUGGCUGGCCAUGGGGAGUGACUGGAAAUAGGGUCUGUUUGGAAAAGAAGCAGAGAGUGGCAGAGCUGCUGUGGGGACUGGUUUCACACAGCCAGGACAGAGUGGGGUUGGCAGACAUGGUAGGGUGUUUUUUUUUUGUUUUUUUUUUUUGUUUUUUUGUAGGGGAUAGGGUUUGGUUCUGUCACCCAGGCCAAAGUGCAGUGGUGUGAUCACAGCUCACUGCAGCCUCAAACUCCUGGGCUCAAGCGAUCCUCCUACCUCAGCUCUCCAAGUAACUAGGGACUACAGAUCCACACCACCAUACCUGGGUAAUUUUUUAAAAUUAUUUUUUGUAUAGGCAAGGUCUUGCUGUUGCCCAGGCUGGUCUCGAACUCCCAGCCUCAAGUGAUCCUCCCUCCUUGCCUGAACUUUCUAUUCUUUUCCUGCAUUAAAGUUUAAGCAUUGAGGAAGCACUUCCCAAGACUACCUGAGUUCUUUUCAGCUGAGUCUAGAGGUAGGGAUAGCCAUGGUUCAAAAGCAGCCUACCACUUGGGGUCGCCCUGGCGUGCACCCCAUUAAGGUCCCUACUUCGAGGAGCAGAUUCUUCAGGCUUUCCAUCUUGGGGUCUCCUAGUCUAUCAGCAGUGGAGGAAACCUCUACAGAUGCUGCACUGUGUGGUAUGGAAGGCACUGGCCACGCGUGACUACUGAGUAUGUGAAAUGCAUCUGGUCCACACUGAGAAGUGUUCCAAGUACAAAACACACAUCAGAUUUUAAAGACGUAGUGAAAAAGAAUGUAAAAGAUCUCAAUCACUAUCAGAAUUGCUCAUUGAAAUGAUACCAUUCAAUUGGAUGAAGUAAAAUCUGUUAUUAAAAUUCGAUUUACCUGUCUCUUUUUACUUAAUUUAACAUGGAACACUUAAAACUGCA